UAUCUAUAAAACAAUGACACUAAAUAGUACAGUCACAAAAUUCACAUUUUUUUAAAUCUAUUUUUCACAGGUUUUUGCCUGCAAUAUGAGUUUUGUUAUACUUACAGACACCAUUCAAACUGUUUUAGAAAAUUCAGAGUGUUUUCUAUCCGAAUGUGUUAAUAAUAUGCAUAUCUUAGCUUCUGAGUUGGUGUAGGAGGCAGUUAAAAAUGGGCCCAUAUUUUUUUCAAAAUUUCUCAAUACUGCCCCCGAGCCCCAACAGGUUUUAAACAGCGUUUGACAUGCUUCGAAGUACGGUAAUGGAAUAUUUUGAUUUUUUUUGUCACGAAACCCGCCGGGCGCGUCACCCUUCUUUACCCUUCGGAUAGUGUCUUGAACGCACGAACAAAACGCCGCUAUUUGGAUAUAACUAUGGAUUAUUUGGAACCAAACCAACAUUUGUUAUUGAAGUAGAAGUCCUGGGAGUGCAUUCUGAUGAAGAACAGCAAAGGUAAUCCAAUUUUUGUUAUAGUAAAUCUGAGUUUGGUGAGUACCACACUUGGUGGGUGUCAAAAUAGCUAGCCCGUGAUGGCCGGGCUAUCUACUCAGGAAUUUGGAAAAUGUGCUUUUUCCUUUAUGCAAUCGGACAUAGCGAUUGCAUAAAGGAGUUCUGUAUCUAUAAUUCUUAAAAUAAUUGUUAUGUUUUUUGUGAACGUUUAUCGUGAGUAAUUUAGUAAAUUCACCGGAAGUGUUCGGUGGGAAUGCUAGUCACAUGCUAAUGUAAAAAGCUGGUUUUUGAUAUAAAUAUGAACUUGAUUGAACAAAACAUGCAUGUAUUGUAUAACAUAAUGUCCUAGGAGUGUCAUCUGAUGAAGAUCAUCAAAGGUUAGUGCUGCAUUUAGCUGCGGUUUUGUUUUUUGUGACAUUAUAUGCUAGCUUGAAAAAUGGGUGUCUGAUUAUUUCUGUCUGGGUACUCUGCUGACAUAAUCUAAUGUUUUGCUUUCGUUGUAAAGCCUUUUUGAAAUCGGACAGUGUGGUUAGAUUAACGAGAGUCUUGUCUUUUAAAAUGGUGUAAAAUAGUCAUAUGUUUGAGAAAUCGAAGUAAUAGCAUUUCUAAGGUAUUUAAAUAUCGCGCCACGGGAUUCCACUGGCUGUUGAGUAGGUGGGACGCAAGCGUCCCACCUAGCCCAUAGAGGUUAACUAAAUAUGCAGGUUUAAGAAUAUAAAGCAUUGAUGUUUAUGGUUAGGUACAUUGGUGCAACGACAGUGUUUUUUUCUCAAAUGCGCUUGUUAAAUCAACACUCGUUUGGCGAAAUAGGCUGUGAUUCAAUAAUAAAUUAACAGGCACCGCAUCGAUUAUAUGCAACGCAGGACAGAUAAACUAGUAAUAUCAUCAACCAUGUGUAGUUAACUAGUGAUUAUGUUAAGAUUGAUAGUUUUUUAUAAGAUAAGUUUAAUGCUAGCUAGCAACUUACCUUGGCUUCUUGCUGCCCUCGCACAACAGGUAGUCAGCCUGCCAUGCAGGCUCCUCGUGCGUUGGAUUGGAUUAGUAACCGGAAGGUUGCAAGAACGAUUCCGCGAAUCCCUCCUGAACAAGGCAGUUAACCCCCGUUCCUAGGCCGUCAUUGAAAAUAAGAAUGUGUUCUUAAUCUGACUUGCCUAGUUAAAUAAAGGUGUAAACAAAAAAAAGUAUUUAAAAAAAAUCGGCAAAUCGGUGGCCAAAAAUACCGAUUAUCGAUUGUUAUGAAAACUUGAAAUCGGCCCUAAUUAAUCGCCCAUUCCGAUUAAUCGGUCGACCUCUAGUCUCAUGUGCCCUCAUCGACUGGCACAUUGAAUGUUUCCUCUCUAGGCACUUGUGUUUUCUUUUGUCUUCCCAGUCAAAUCCUGUCCAGCACUAAAGUCAAGCCUCUGAACACCUCAACUCAUGCCUCAUACCCUCAUUCAAUCACUACUGUGAUCCUUUCCCAACAAUGUGGUCGCCCGCCAGCCGGGCGCAGUCAGCAUCGCCCACCAGACCUUCGGCGCGGCCAGGUGCGCCACCUAAGAGGGCGACGUCAAGGGUGGAGCAGAGGCCACGUCCCGCACCUGAGCCGCCGCCGUAAGAAGGCCCACUCGGACCCUCCCCUUCAGAGUCAGGUUUUUCGGCCGGAGUCCGCACCUUUGGGG
rnacentral:lncRNA from 1 species